rnacentral:rRNA from 1 species
UGGGGAAUAUUGCACAAUGGGCGGAAGCCUGAUGCAGCGACGCCGCGUGAGGGAUGACGGCCUUCGGGUUGUAAACCUCUUUCAGCAGGGAAGAAGCGCAAGUGACGGUACCUGCAGAAGAAGCACCGGCUAACUACGUGCCAGCAGCCGCGGUAAUACGUAGGGUGCGAGCGUUGUCCGGAAUUAUUGGGCGUAAAGAGCUCGUAGGCGGCUUGUCGCGUCNGAUGUGAAAGCCCGGGGCUUAACUCCGGGUCUGCAUUCGAUACGGGCAGGCUAGAGUUCGGUAGGGGAGAUCGGAAUUCCUGGUGUAGCGGUGAAAUGCGCAGAUAUCAGGAGGAACACCGGUGGCGAAGGCGGAUCUCUGGGCCGAUACUGACGCUGAGGAGCGAAAGCGUGGGGAGCGAACAGGAUUAGAUACCCUGGUAGUCCACGCCGUAAACGUUGGGAACUAGGUGUGGGCGACAUUCCACGUUGUCCGUGCCGCAGCUAACGCAUUAAGUUCCCCNCNUAAGNGUACGGCCGCAAGGCUA